CGGGAGAUGAAGACGAAAGGCAUACUAUACUCUGUUUUCGAGCAAAGUAGCGGCGUUGAGAACUUUUCAAAGAUUUUUAGACGUUAAAUGGUUCAUCCAACACAGUUGCCAGUGCCACUAUGCGAGUCUCCCGUAGCCCAGCUGUUUUCACCUAAUCAGUUCAGCCCUAAAUCGGAGUACGUUUGGAGGAAGUUUUGGAA
rnacentral:misc_RNA from 1 species